GCUGGGCAUGGUGGUGCAGGCCUGUCAUCCCAGUGACUUUGGAGGCUGAAGCAGGAGGAUCACAUUUGAGGCCAGCCUCAGCAACUAAGCAAGACCCUGUCUUGA
rnacentral:sRNA from 1 species